UACGUAGGUGGCAAGCGUUGUCCGGAAUUACUGGGCGUAAAGGGCGUGUAGGCGGCUUUUUAAGUCAGAUGUGAAAUCCCUGAGCUUAACUCAGGAACUGCAUUUGAAACUGGAGAGCUUGAGGACCGGAGAGGGCAGUGGAAUUCCCAGUGUAGCGGUGAAAUGCGUAGAUAUUGGGAGGAACACCAGUGGCGAAGGCGACUGCCUGGACGGCACCUGACGCUGAGGCGCGAAAGCUAGGGUAGCAAACGGG
rnacentral:rRNA from 1 species